UAUUUUUGUGUUCAGUAAAAGAAAAAUGCAUAGCAUGCAUUUCUGGACGUCUUACAGCACCAAAAUUAUUUUGAUAAGGAAUCUUAUCUGGAAUAUGCAGAGUAGUAGUGUGGAUAGUGAAAACACCUUAGAAUCUGGACAUUAGUUCAAAUUCUGCCUCAUCAUACUGGGUGUUUGACCCUGGCAGGACUGUAACUUCUCAGUGCUCUAGACUAUUCCAGGCAACUAUGAAAGUUGCAGAAGAGGUGCCAGCUUGCAUUGAUGGAGUGAAUUUCUUCAACCCGGAGUUCCCCAUAACAGUGAAAUCUUAGGUAUGAUCUUUAUCUUCUAGGAAUUUAGUGUGUCAGUAGCAUCUUUUUGUUUCACUAUACACAUCAACAAAUUCAUCAUAAGAACUCAUUUCUCAUUUUAAAAAGUACCAAAAAAUGAGGAUGACCUACAACAUACCAUAAUACAGUCAUUUGUUUCAGUUCUGUCUAACUCUUCAUGACCUCAUUAGGAGUUUUCUUAGCAAUAAUACUGAAAUGGUUUCCAUUUCCUUCUCCAGCUCAUUUUACACAUGAAAAAACUGAGGCAAACAGUUAAGUGACUUGCUCAGGAUCAAACAGCUAGUAAGUCCUUGAGGCCAGAUUUGAAUUAGGGAAGAUGAAUCUUUUUGAUUCCGGGCCCAGAACUCUACCUGCUUCAUCACCAGCUAAAAUUAUGCUUCUUCUAUUUAGCAUGGGCAGGAAACCAUCUCUUAAAUACCAUGAGGAGAGAGAGAAAAGAAGAUGUCUCCUACUCCCAGCACUCAGAGAGAACAACUGCUACUCCCAGAGACAAACUGCCAACUACCUCAGAGGAACUGCCACAGAAAAACCAUUACCCUUCCCCCACAUACUGUCAACAUUUGAAACUGACACUCUGUCUCAGAUGUUUCAAACUCUAAUUCUUUCUCAAGCCAAGUUCUCCACUUCUUAUCUCUAAACGAAUGUAACAAGACUUAAUUUCUUAUAUCAUCCUUAUAAUUUCAAAAAGACCUAUGCGUAGUCCAUUUUUAUUUGUGACAAAUAAAAGUACAAGUUUUGCUUUUA